CCUACGGGAGGCAGCAGUAGGGAAUCUUCCACAAUGGGCGCAAGCCUGAUGGAGCAACACCGCGUGAGUGAAGAAGGGUUUCGGCUCGUAAAGCUCUGUUGUUGGAGAAGAACGUGCGUGAGAGUAACUGUUCACGCAGUGACGGUAUCCAACCAGAAAGUCACGGCUAACUACGUGCCAACAGCCGCGGUAAUACGUAGGUGGCAAGCGUUAUCCGGAUUUAUUGGGCGUAAAGCGAGCGCAGGCGGUUGCUUAGGUUUGAUGUGAAAGCCUUCGGCUUAACCGAAGAAGUGCAUCGGAAACCGGGCAACUUGAGUGCAGAAGAGGACAGUGGAACUCCAUGUGUAGCGGUGGAAUGCGUAGAUAUAUGGAAGAACACCAGUGGCGAAGGCGGCUGUCUGGUCUGCAACUGACGCUGAGGCUCGAAAGCAUGGGUAGCGAACAGGAUUAGAUACCCGGGUAGUC
rnacentral:rRNA from 1 species